rnacentral:rRNA from 1 species
AGUGAACGCUGGCGGUAGGCCUAACACAUGCAAGUCGAACGGCAGCACAGUAAGAGCUUGCCCUUACGGGUGGCGAGUGGCGGACGGGUGAGGAAUACAUCGGAAUCUACUUUUUCGUGGGGGAUAACGUAGGGAAACUUACGCUAAUAUCGCAUACGACCUACGGGUGAAAGCAGGGGAUCUUCGGACCUUGCGCGAUUGAAUGAGCCGAUGUCGGAUUAGCUAGUUGGCGGGGUAAAGGCCCACCAAGGCGACGAUCCGUAGCUGGUCUGAGAGGAUGAUCAGCCACACUGGAACUGAGACACGGUCCAGACUCCUACGGGAGGCAGCAGUGGGGAAUAUUGGACAAUGGGCGCAAGCCUGAUCCAGCCAUACCGCGUGGGUGAAGAAGGCCUUCGGGUUGUAAAGCCCUUUUGUUGGGAAAGAAAAGCAGCAGGUUAAUACCCCGCUGUUCUGACGGUACCCAAAGAAUAAGCACCGGCUAACUUCGUG